rnacentral:lncRNA from 1 species
UAGCCUAAUCCCAGCUGUCUAGACACAAGCCUGGAAACACUGUAACAGCCAGGACAGCGUGCCUUCUCUUCUAGAGCCUAAUCCCAGCUGUCUAGACACAAGCCUGGAAACACUGUAACAGUAAGCUGUCUAGACACAAGCCUGGAAACACUGUAACAGCCAGGACAGCGAGCCUUCUCUACUAGAGCCUAAUCCCAGCUGUCUAGACACAAGCCUGGAAACACAGUAACAGCCAGGACAGCGUGCCUUCUCUACUAGAGCCCAGAAAACCUUCUGAGCAGGAUCUGAAUAUGCCAACACAGCUGAAGCACAAGAAAGGGACCUUAAAACAGGCUUUAUGACCAUGCUAGAAGUCUUUAAAGAGGAAAUGAAUAAAUCCCAUAAAGAAAUUGAUGAAAACACAAACAGUGAAGGGACAUGAAGGAAACUGCUAAAGAAAUCCAGGAAAACACAAAGAAUGGAUGAAAGUGAAUAACAUGAUUAAAGACCUGAAAAUGGAAAUAGAAUCUAUAAAGAAAACACAAACUGAGAGGAUUCAAGCUGG